GGCAGCAGUUAGCUCAGUUGGUUUGGAGCAUGGUGCUGGUAACGCAAAGCUCGCGGGUUUGAUGCCCUGACGUGCCA